GAUUAUGGCUCAGGAUGAAGCUAGCUACAGGCUUAACACAUGCAAGUCGAGGGGCAGCAUUGGAGUAGCAAUACUCAGAUGGCGACGGCGCACGGGUGAGUAACACGUAUCCAACCUGCCGCGUUACUCGGGGAUAGCCUUUCGAAAGAAAGAUUAAUACCCGAUGGUAUAAAGAGUUCGCAUGUUCUCUUUAUUAAAGAAUUUCGGUAAGCGAUGGGGAUGCGUUCCAUUAGAUAGUUGGCGGGGUAACGGCCCACCAAGUCUACGAUGGAUAGGGGUUCUGAGAGGAAGGUCCCCCACAUUGGAACUGAGACACGGUCCAAACUCCUACGGGAGGCAGCAGUGAGGAAUAUUGGUCAAUGGACGAGAGUCUGAACCAGCCAAGUAGCGUGAAGGAUGACUGCCCUAUGGGUUGUAAACUUCUUUUAUAAGGGAAUAAAGUGAGGGACGUGUCCCUUUUUGUAUGUACCUUAUGAAUAAGGAUCGGCUAACUCCGUGCCAGCAGCAGC
rnacentral:rRNA from 1 species